GAUGAACGCUGGCGGCGUGCCUAAUACAUGCAAGUCGAGCGAACGGACGAGAAGCUUGCUUCUCUGAUGUUAGCGGCGGACGGGUGAGUAACACGUGGAUAACCUACCUAUAAGACUGGGAUAACUUCGGGAAACCGGAGCUAAUACCGGAUGAUAUUUUGAACCGCAGGGUUCAAAAGUGAAAGACGGUCUUGCUGUCACUUAUAGAUGGAUCCGCGCUGCAUUAGCUAGUUGGUAAGGUAACGGCUUACCAAGGCAACGAUGCAUAGCCGACCUGAGAGGGUGAUCCGCCACCCUGGAACUGAGACACGGUCCAGACUCCUACGGGAGGCCGCAGUAGGGAAUCUUCCGCAAAGGGCGAAAGCCUGACGGAGCAACGCCGCGUGAGUGAUGAAGGUCUUCGGAUCGUAAAACUCUGUUAUUAGGGAAGAACAUAUGUGUAAGUAACUGUGCACAUCUUGACGGUACCUAAUCAGAAAGCCCCGGCUAACUACGUG
rnacentral:rRNA from 1 species